UAAUACGGAGGGUGCAAGCGUUAUCCGGAUUUACUGGGUUUAAAGGGUGCGUAGGCGGGACUAUAAGUCAGUGGUGAAAGCCUCCAGCUUAACUGGAGAAUUGCCAUUGAAACUGUAGUUCUUGAGUAUAGUUGAUGUGGGCGGAAUGUGGCAUGUAGCGGUGAAAUGCAUAGAUAUGCCACAGAACACCGAUUGCGAAGGCAACUCACAAAACUAUUACUGACGCUGAGGCACGAAAGCGUGGGUAGCGAACAGGAUUAGAUACCCUGGUAGUCCACGCCCUAAACGAUGAUUACUCGACAUUUGCGAUAUACAGUGAGUGUCCAAGCGAAAGCGUUAAGUAAUCCACCUGGGGAGUACGUUCGCAAGAAUG
rnacentral:rRNA from 1 species